AACUCAUAAAAGUAGCAGUAUCUUAGCUUAUAAGGUUUAACCGGGGUGCAAUUAUUGCUGAUUGAAAACUUUACCCAGUAACCCACGAUGCUGACUUGAAAUAGAGUCAGUCAUGGCAAUUUUUGAGAGUCUCAGUAGAGA